AAUAGCCCCAAUCAUGCUUUGUUCAUUUUAAAUUUUUUAAACUGUGACACAGAAGGUCACACUGCUGCUGAGAGGCAAAUGUCUCCCUCAGUAACAGGCCCUUUAGGCAGAGUUUUGUGGAAAGAUUUACAGACCAGUCAAUGGAAAGGCCCAGACCCAGUGCUUAUGUGGGGCAGAGGUCAUGCUUGUAUCUUUCCAGAAAGUGCUUUUCGUCCUAUUUGGGUGCCUGAACGCGCGAUCAGACAUGGAAGAGAUAGAACCCAGAUUCAAGUGACUGAAGAUAGACCCGGAGGAGCCCCUAUCCAAAAGGAAGAGAUAUUGGAAAAAGAUGAAGAAAGACCAGAUUGACCCAGCCGAAAAUCUGAUUUCAUGGGAAGACGUGAAGAAGCUAACAACACAGGCUUCCCGAAUACUUCGACUCCUAGGAAAGAACAGGACCCCAGUGAUGAUGGUAGCAACAGUAAUUGCCCUGCUGGGCUGUCAGGUAAAGGGGGAUCAAAUAGACACUUACUGGACAUAUUUCCCAGAUCCACCCCUGGUACACCCAGCUGUGUGGACUGGAGAAUCUAUUCUAGUAUUUACUAAUGACUCAUUCAUGAUGGGAGGAUUUACAGAUACUCAUAUUACUCCCAAUCAUGUGACUAGAUUUAAUUAUUCUGGCUACAGUGCCCAAUUACCUUUGUGUUGGUCCCACGAUAAACAUGCUGGCUAUCUGAAAGUAUCAUUAGAGGAAAAGACAGUGAUUGGUAGACCUAGACUGACAAAUAAUUCUAUUUAUGGAGACUUAAAACCUUAUACUAGAUCAGUAAUUAAGAUGGGACUUUCCCAUAACAAGCCAGUCAUUUCUGCAAAACCUCCACGGAUACCCCACUGUCCAAAUAGUUCUACAAUUGAGAUUGGCACCUUUCCUAGAUGGAUGGAUUGUGUAAAUAAGGUGUCUAAACAUAAGGUACAACAUAAGGUGUCUAAAGAUAGUGGGUAUAUUUUAGACUGGUCUCCAAAAAUUGAUAAGAGACAAUUACGAAAAAAUUCUGCUAUGACGCCUGCAGGAUUUGUUAGUAAUAUUUUGACUUAUAGUGAAGGUGGUAUUCAAAAGGAUAUUUGGCGCUUAAUUGCUGCCUCAGAAUUCUUACAUUUUACAGAGAAGCCUUUACCAAAAUUUGUUGGCAAGAACUGUAAGGAGGGAUCUUGCUAUGGCUUACGAUCCUGUGUCCAGUCUCCUUAUGUUUUAAUUAUUGGAAAUGUAAAAGUUAAAUGGAUAGAUGACAGAUAUAUUGUUACUUGUAACAAAUGUAACCUAACCAAUUGUAUUACUAGGUAUAAUGGAGGAAAAGGAGUGCUGAUACUUCAUCAGCCCUCUUUUGUUUUAUUACCUGCUAAUAUUUCAGAGCCAUGGUAUGCUGAUACUGGUUUACAAGUCUUGCAGCAAAUUCAUGCCCAGCUAGCAAGACCUAAAUGUGAUAUUGGAAUUAUAAUUGUUGGUGUUUUGGCGCUAGUCUCUUUUAUUGCCUCCACUGUCUCUGCAUCUCUGACAUUGUCUCAUAAUAUUCAGCAUGCAAAAUUUCUUAAUAAUUUAGCUCAAAAUACUUCCAAGGCUCUGCGUAAUCAAGUAAAUAUUGAUGAAAGGAUUGAGCCUAAAUUAAAUGCCUUAGAGGCGACUGUUUUAGACAUAGAUAAUGAACUUUCAGCCUUAAAGUUUAAAGAGGGCUUAAAUGCCAUGCAAAUUAUAAAUAUGUGUGUGUUACAGCUGCCAAGUACAACGCUUCUCUCUGGGAUUGGGAGAAGGUUAAAAAUCAUUUGUUAGGUAUUUGGCAAAAUAGUAAUAAUAGCUUGGAUAUUCUAGAACUUCAUCACCAUAUCCAAGACAUUCAAAAUAAUAGAGCUGAUUUUUCGGAUCCUUCUUCUUUGGUUAACCAAAUAUUGAAGGAGUUGAAUGGAUUCAACCCUGGAAAUAUUCUUAAACACUCGGCCUGGUACAUUAUUGGAUUAUUCUCUUUGCUGUUAAUUCUCUUUUGUGUUGUAAUUAUAAGAUGGCGAGUCUUUGGAACAUGAAUACAGAAACUCCAAAGAGUGAACCACUGCCUCUUUUUUAAGAAAAGAAAAGGGGGAAUAUGUGGGGAGCCAUUCUCACAUGUGACUGGGCAACUCCCGGUUUGGGUCUGAGGCACUCUGGCUAAACUAUGUCGGAGCUUUCCCGACCCUCUCCUGGUGCAAGAGCCUGUCCAUGUGGGGGUGUAACUUGACCACUGACCCUGGGGCCAAUCACUGACCCUGACCUUGGAGUGCUGCCCCCCUCAACCUUCAUUGGAUGGAAUUCUCCCCUGAAUUUCUUGUUCCCCAAUAAAAGGCUACUCCCUGGCAUGCUCUCUCUCUCUCUCUCUCUCCUGCUAGCCCUGAGUAAUCCCUGCUGCCCUAUCGGGUGGUUCGAGGUGUGAGUUCAGAGGGAGAGCCAUCUCAGACCUGGUCAUAGAAAAAGGUAACUGAGUCUGUGUGUUUUAUUUCGAUCUCACUAGCUAACUUUUAUGCCAAGAACCUCUUUAAUGAAACCAGUGCGCUGAUCGCAUGGUGGAACUAAACCUUCUUGCAUUGUCUCACACACGAGCUUUGGGGGAACACCUCACAUCUAAACCAUAACCCAAGGAAGAUAUCCUUGGGUUGGAAAGAAGAAACCAUUCAUUAUGUCAAUCAAUCCUUUGAAAGUCCUGAGUAACUACCAUGAUCCAGUCUAAGCACUGUGCACACACUGUCUGUAGGCAGAGCAGUGAACUUGACAAACAUGAUCUCCACUCUUAUGGACCUUACAGUAUAUCAAGGAUACAGACCAAAACAAACCCCAAAAAAGUCUCAAGUAUUUUCAAGUUGUGAUAAGAGCUAGGAUGGAAGCAAAUAAGAUGGUCAGGGAAGUCUUCUCAGGGGAAGUGAUAUUUAAGUUGUGAUAUGAAUGAAAAGGAACCAACCACACAGAGAGCAAGGAGAAGGGUGUUCUGAGGAAGUGGAAAUUGUAUCAGCAAAGGCCCUGAGGCAGGAAAGACCUUAGUCCUGCUACACACAAAAGCUUAGCAGGAAAAGGAAUUCUGCCCAAAGUUCCUGGUCUCCCCUUCUUUGGGGAUUACCAUUAAUUCUGACUCGACUCUCAGUAUCUCUUUGUUGCAAGUUAUGCUUUACCAAAAC
rnacentral:lncRNA from 1 species